AGGAUCGAGAAGGACGAAGAAGAAGGUGUAAGCAGCUCGUAAAUGUGAAAAGUUGAUGUUUUCACCACCCAGUGUCUUUAAGACUGUGAUAAAUGCAAUGACCAACGACCAAGGAUUAAUAGAGAAGAAAACUGCAUGACUUUAAAAGAAAACCAGUGAGAUAAAAUCAUAUAAAAUGUAUGAUGAUUCAGGAUGUGGUCAUUUGAGACCUGUUCUGUGGAUGCCCUUAGACAGUGUGUCUACCCAUCACGCCAUCUGAUAUCACUUGUUCUGAGCAUAUUUCUCUCUCAAACUUAAACUACAGAGAGCCUGUGGAUAGAGGAUGAAGAGUGACCUUGGACUAAUUUUCUAGGUCAAAGAUCAUAGGUGAUGUGAAGGAAAUACCAGGGAACUGAUGUUGAAAGAAGUACUUAAUGACGCUUAUGAAUGGACUUAAAUGUGAAAGACUGUUCCAUUGUUUAUCUAAGAUAUAUGAAUUUAUUUAGUAUUUUGAUAUCAUUGAAAAAUACUGUUACAGUUUUUGUACAUCAAAUGAAUUAUUAAACAUAUAAAAUGGUAAUGCUUUUUUUCUCUUACAUUUAAUAAUUUUUUUGAUAGAUUUUUGAAAGAAUACACAUAAUUUCACAUCGCUUCCUUAAGAAAAGUUGGGGAAUCUUGAAGUUUCCCAGUAACUUCAACCAGGAAUGGGACUCCAGAUAAUUCCACCAAGUUUCCGCCACACAGAAACUGCUACACAAGUUCCAUAUAGUUUCCUGAGUCAGGGAAACUUUAGGAAUCGUAAGGUUUCACGAGGUUCCAUGUAGUUUCCCGUAAUAGGAAACCUUAAGAUUCCAUCAAGUUUCCAUUCCACGGAAACCACUACACUCCGAUUCCCUGU